rnacentral:rRNA from 1 species
UACGGGGGGGGCGAGCGUUGUUCGGAAUUACUGGGCGUAAAGGGUGCGUAGGCGGCCAACUAAGUCGGAUGUGAAAUCCCCAGGCUUAACCUGGGAACUGCAUCCGAUACUGGAUGGCUUGAAUCCGGGAGAGGGAUGCAGAAUUCCAGGUGUAGCGGUGAAAUGCGUAGAUAUCUGGAGGAACACCGGUGGCGAAGGCGGCAUCCUGGACCGAAAUUGACGCUGAGGCGCGAAAGCCAGGGGAGCAAACGGG